GACGAACGCUGGCGGCGUGCUUAACACAUGCAAGUCGAACGAGUGGCGAACGGGUGAGUAAUACGUGAGUAACCUGCCCUCUCUUCGGGACAAGCCUUGGAAACGCGGUCUAAUACCGGCUAAAGGGGGUUGGGCUCGCGGCCUGUCGGCUUGUUGGUGGGGUGACGGCUUAACAAGGCGGUGACGGGUCGCCGGCCUGAGAGGGUGACCGGCGACGUUGGGACGGAGAUACGGCCCAGGCGCCGACGAGGGGGGGCAUUGGGGGAUAGUGCACAAUGGGCGAAGGCCUGAUGCAGCGUCGCUGCGUGGGGGAUGAGGGCUUUCAGGUGGUAAACCUCUUGCGCUAUCGAAGGGUAGGUGAAGAGAAAGCGACGGCUAACUACGUGCCAGCAGCCGCGGUAAUUC
rnacentral:rRNA from 1 species